rnacentral:tRNA from 1 species
AUUAGAAUCUGCUACAUAAGCAAUUGGGCCCAUACCCCAAAAACGAUGACACCACAUCUUCUAAUA